UAGGGAAUCUUCGGCAAUGGACGAAAGUCUGACCGAGCAACGCCGCGUGAGUGAAGAAGGUUUUCGGAUCGUAAAACUCUGUUGUUAGAGAAGAACAAGGACGUUAGUAACUGAACGUCCCCUGACGGUAUCUAACCAGAAAGCCACGGCUAACUCCGUGCCAGCAGCCGCGGUAAUACGGAGGGUGCAAGCGUUAAUCGGAAUUACUGGGCGUAAAGCGCACGCAGGCGGUUUGUUAAGUCAGAUGUGAAAUCCCCGGGCUCAACCUGGGAACUGCAUCAGAUACUGGCAAGCGUGAGUCUCGUAGAGGGGGGUAGAAUUCCAGGUGUAGCGAUGAAAUGCGUAGAGAUCUGGAGGAAUACCGGUGGCGAAGGCGGCCCCCUGGACGAAGACUGACGCUCAGGUGCGAAAGCGUGGCGAGCAAACAGG
rnacentral:rRNA from 1 species